rnacentral:rRNA from 1 species
CCUACGGGGGGCAGCAGUGAGGAAUAUUGGUCAAUGGGCGGAAGCCUGAACCAGCCAAGUCGCGUGAGGGAUUAAGGCCCUGCGGGUCGUAAACCUCUUUUGCCGGGGAGCAGAGGUCCGGACGUGUCCGGGCCGGGAGAGUACCCGGAGAAAAAGCAUCGGCUAACGCCGUGCCAGCAGCCGCGGUAAUACGUAGGGGGCAAGCGUUGUUCGGAAUGACUGGGCGUAAAGGGUGUGUAGGUGGUUUGGUAAGUUAGAUGUGUAAUACCCAGGGCUUAACAGGGGUGCUGAAUCUAAAACUGGUAGACUUGAGUACGGGUGAGGGAGGUGGAAUUAGUGGGGUAGCGGUGAAAUGCGUAGAUAUUAGGAAGAACGUCGAUGGCGAAGGCGACUAACUAGACAGCAACUGACACUGAGGCACGAAAGCGUGGGGAGCAAACAGGAUUAGAUACCCGGGUAGUC